rnacentral:rRNA from 1 species
GAUGAACGCUGGCGGCGUGCCUAAUACAUGCAAGUCGAGCGAACAGAUAAGGAGCUUGCUCCUUUGACGUUAGCGGCGGACGGGUGAGUAACACGUGGAUAACCUACCUAUAAGACUGGGAUAACUUCGGGAAACCGGAGCUAAUACCGGAUAACAUAUUGAACCGCAUGGUUCAAUAGUGAAAGGCGGCUUUGCUGUCACUUAUAGAUGGAUCCGCGCCGUAUUAGCUAGUUGGUAAGGUAACGGCUUACCAAGGCAACGAUACGUAGCCGACCUGAGAGGGUGAUGGGCCACACUGGAACUGAGACACGGUCCAGACUCCUACGGGAGGCAGCAGUAGGGAAUCUUCCGCAAUGGGCGAAAGCCUGACGGAGCAACGCCGCGUGAGUGAUGAAGGUCUUCGGAUCGUAAAACUCUGUUAUCAGGGAAGAACAAAUGUGUAAGUAACUGUGCACAUCUUGACGGUACCUGAUCAGAAAGCCACGGCUAACUACGUG